ACAAACACUGUGAAGUUCUGCAUUGAGCCAAAGAAACUAUUUAAACGGUUGAUGUUUUCUGCCAAGUGCAUCGAAGUUAUUUUAAAGGGAUCGUUCACCCAAAAAUAAAAAUUCUCUCUUCAUUUACUAAUGAAGUCCCAGAUGUGAAUGAUUUUCUUUUUUCUGCUGAACACAAACAUUUGUAGAAGAGUAUUUCUCCUCAGUAGGUCCAUAAAAUGAAAGUGAAUGGUGAUCAGGCCUUUGAAGCUCCAAAAACGAGAUAAAGUUAGCAUAAAUGUAAUCAAUAUGACUCAAGUGGUUUUAUUAAUGUCUUCAGUUGGUUUUGGGUGAAAAAGGAUCAAAAUAUAAUUCUCUUUUCACUGUACAUCUUGUCAUUGCAGUCUCUAGACACGAUCAUGAUUUCAACCUCCGAGCUUGAAAUCACGAUCGGCAAGGAGAUUGCUGCAAGAUGUACGGCGUUCAGCAGAAGAAAGAAAGUUAUUCACAUCUUAGAUGCUGUGGGGGGUGAGAAAAUUAUGAGAGAAUAUUUGAUUUUGGGUUAGUUAACCCUUUAAUUUAUUUAUAAAAACUGGCGCUCAUCCAUAGACAGAACUAUUGGUGGAUAUUUGAUUAUGUGGACUGUAAUAAAGACAAAUUAGUGGGUCCACAAGGUGGCAACACUCACAGUUGAGCUUUUGCUGUCACGAAGAAGCACUAGAAGAUGUAAUGGCUGCUAAACAUCAGGAGAUGGCUGUAAAAACAACAGUGGAUGUCCACGUCAAGAAUGUGUGUUUGAGGAGGUCUGGAGAUGCCUGCAUUUGUAUUACUCGAGUCUAAAGAAAGACUCAUAAAUAGUCAAGUCUCUCAUAGCAGUCAUAGCGUGUAUGCACACAUAGACAAAUGAAGUGUAGUUUGAAAGGCUAGCGUUCGACUGUAGGCAGACCGAAGUAUACUUUGAGCUUAAUAGUUUGUUUUUAACAGGUAAUACUUUGUUUUUGGUCUUGUUACACAUAAACCUCUCAGAUUCUUUCCUCAGAUUACCCUUUCCAUGUUUCCUCUGCUGUUUGUGCCAUUGUAUUUCUAAUCUUUGUGUGACUUCCUAUAGAAGAGGAGUGUGUGGUCUCUGCAAAGAGCACUAAAACUGCAGCCCCUCCCUCUGCCUCUGCAUCCCGCCCACCAAGGGGAGGGGCUAAGAUAGUGGUCUACAGCUCGGGUGAUACAAGCGCUCAAGUACGCAGUAAAACAAGUUCAGGGCAAGGGGAGAAGACUGCUAGAGAUGGUUCCAGCCAGCGGGUGCCACGGCAGGUCAGCGCCACCAGGGGGCAGAAGAGUGCCAAGAGUUCUGGCAGUAGCAGCUCCUCUUCUCAGCUCACUUCCAACUGAAAUUCUACAUUGAACAAUGCAUACUAAACUCGCUCAAGUUGCACUCCUUUGUUCUUGUGAUUGAGAUUCCUGAAGAAUUUAAAAUGGAAAGUUUUCACUGUAAAUAAUAAAGUUGUUUUAAUGGCUUUAUAGUCUCUCCAUUGGGAUUCCUUUGCUUGAAAAAGCCACAUUUUGCAUAAAAUUAGCAUCUUGUUCAGAGAAAGACCAUAGCUGAAGCUUCUGUAUGUAAUUAUGUAUGGUGUAUUUUCAGCUGUGGUGUUUUAAGUGGGAAUACCAGACCCAAAUAGUGUGUACACUUUCACACAAAAAUAAUAAUUUGAGGGAAAAUGCAGCAAAUUUUAUUCUAGACUUUUCACUGUUGAAAUGUAUGUAACCUGAUAUUUUGUUUUAGAGGAAUACAUAUGCUGGUUCUGUUUAUUAUUUUGUGAUCCACUUUAAAUCACCUGUCUUGAAAUGUAUACUGUGAUGUAGAUUGACAUGUGAAAUGUUGUUUUUAUAUUAUUUUUUUUUUUUCAAAUGUGUUGCUCAAAUAGCUCUUUUACAUUUUGCUUCUGGUAAA